AACACAAAAUUAAGUAUGUAAAGUCGGAAUUAGGAACAUGAAAUUAAGCAUGUUGAGCGCGGAGUAAGUGAUAACCUAUAAAAAAGGAGUUUUUGAUGGUUUACGUGGUAGUUCACUACACGCGAACUGUCAAGUAGAAUCAAAGAGACCCCGUUUUGACCAGGAGUUUUUGAUACUGACUGCUUUUUUUAACACAUCAUGGAGAAGGAUAUAUAAGAUUUUUUACGUAACAUGCAAACAAAAAGUUAUUUUUU